GGGGGUGUACUGGUUUCGACGGGGGUACUAAGCAAAGGUUGCAUGCCGAGGUCCGGGUGGCUCGUUAAACAAUCCGGGGCGAAUUAAACGCCGACAACUACGAAUACGCUUUAGCAGCUUAGUUCUGCUAACGAUCCGCCGAACUUCUCCCACGAGGGAGGACGGAUCGUCAUUUCAGUGGGAUAGCCGAGGGGAGCGCCCGUGACCCGACGCGAAUUUUCAGCGGGAUCGCCAAAUGAAUAUCCCGGCCGGUGGAGCUUCAUGCGGUUAAAACAAAUACCGGUAUAAGCAUGUAGACGCCUUCUGUGGAUGAUCUUCGGACGCGGGUUCGACUCCCGCCACCUCCACCA
rnacentral:tmRNA from 1 species